UUACAGUUGCUCACCAUACAUUGCCGAAGAAAGCUUUUAUCCUUCAUUAUGAGAAGAGUUUUGUACCAGAGAGGACUUGCAAUGAUGAGAAGGUCUGCAAGAUGUGAGCUACAUGUCAUAUCCACCUGAACAUACAUUAUGGCGUAAAAAAGGUACAUGAAUAUAUAUAUAUAUAUAUAUAUGAAUUGUUAUAAUUAGAAGAAUGUAGGGCAAUAUCUCAUUAUCCUAUGGACAAGUGCCUGUAGCUGCCCUUGUUAUCGUAGAAUAAAUUAAUCUAUGUAAUAUUGAAGGCAUUUAAUUUUAAUUAUGGAUCUAUUGUGAUUUUUGUAGAGAUUUAUUUAUGCUGAAAUUGCAUUUGACUUA